CCUACGGGAGGCAGCAGUGGGGAAUUUUGGACAAUGGGCGCAAGCCUGAUCCAGCAAUGCCGCGUGAGUGAAGAAGGCCUUCGGGUUGUAAAGCUCUUUUGUCAGGGAAGAAACGGUCUACUCUAAUACAGUGGGCUAAUGACGGUACCUGAAGAAUAAGCACCGGCUAACUACGUGCCAGCAGCCGCGGUAAUACGUAGGGUGCAAGCGUUAAUCGGAAUUACUGGGCGUAAAGCGUGCGCAGGCGGUUAUAUAAGUCAGAUGUGAAAUCCCCGGGCUCAACCUGGGAACUGCAUUUGAGACUGUAUGGCUAGAGUGUGUCAGAGGGGGGUAGAAUUCCACGUGUAGCAGUGAAAUGCGUAGAUAUGUGGAGGAAUACCGAUGGCGAAGGCAGCCCCCUGGGAUAACACUGACGCUCAUGCACGAAAGCGUGGGGAGCAAACAGGAUUAGAUACCCUGGUAGUCCACGCCCUAAACGAUGUCUACUAGUUGUCGGGACUUAAUUGUCUUGGUAACGCAGCUACGCGUGAGUAGACGCCGUCGGGUAGGUACGGUCGCGAGAGUAAACGUACGAAGAGAGUAGACGNGAGAGAGAGACGACGGACGACGACGGAGGGAGGAGG
rnacentral:rRNA from 1 species